UACAAAGGGAGCGAGCGUUAAUCGGAAUUACUGGGCGUAAAGCGCACGUAGGUGGCGACGUAAGUCGGGUGUGAAAGCCCCGGGCUCAACCUGGGAAUUGCAUUCGAGACUGCAUUGCUGGAGUACGGAAGAGGAGGGCGGAAUUCCCGGUGUAGCGGUGGAAUGCGUAGAUAUCGGGAGGAACAUCAGUGGCGAAGGCGGCCCUCUGGUCCAGUACUGACACUCAAGUGCGAAAGCGUGGGGAGCAAACAGG
rnacentral:rRNA from 1 species